rnacentral:lncRNA from 1 species
GGUCCGCAGUAGCAGACGAGAAAGGGGGGUGAUGGACAGAGAAGGGGAAGCCCCUAACAGACAGACAGGCUGGGGGUCUCCGUCAGAUCAGCAGACAGGAGCAGAGGGGGGUGAGGUGAUGACGAGAAGGGCGAGCCCCUAACAGACAGACAGGCUGUUGGUCUCCGUCCGAUCAGCAUACGGAGAAGAGGGGGGUGAUUGGACAGAGAAGG